rnacentral:lncRNA from 1 species
AUGCUCCCGCAUCCGCCCCCCGACGUCUCUCCCUGUUCCGAGGCCCCGAAGUGCUUCCCCACAACCAAGCGAAGAAAGCCCGGCGCUUCGCCUGCCGGGACCGAGCGACCGUCCCCGCCCCGGGACGUUCUCGCCCCUUCCAGGAAAGCCGCUGUCCGCGCUCCCGCCAGGACCUCCGCCCUCCGCAGGGGACUCCCCGCUCUGCUCCCUCCCCGCCCCCUCCCCGGGGUGUCUUCCCCCCAACUCCCCCCUCCAGCGCCUCCCGCUCCCCAGCGUCUCCCCCUCCCCGGGUUCCCCCCCAGCGUCUCCCCCUCCCCGGGUUCCCCCCCCCCACCCCACCCCCCCCCCCCCGACGCCGACCCCGCUCUCCUUCGGGAGGCCCGCGGCAGCCGCGCCGGGCGGGGACCACUUCCGGCGCGCCGCCCGCUCCCGUCGGGCCCCGCGGCCCCGCGGCAUGCCGGGAGCUCGGGGAAGGCGGCGCGCGGCCCGGCCGGCGGGCGCCCAGCGAGGGUGCUGAGCGCCGACCCUCCCCUCUCCCCGCUGCUCCGAGGAGGAGAUGCAGCCCCGUGGCCCUUACCCGAGCGGGUGCCAGCGCGACGAAACCGGCCACGCACCGGCCUCCCGCCACCGCCUUUAAACCACCGCCUGCUGCCGCGGAGAGGCGGCGCCGCCCGAUGCCGGCCUCAGCGAACGACGGCCCGAGCGGGACGCCGUCGUGCUCCUGAUUGGCUGGCUGCGCGGGGCCGCCUCGCUCGGAGACGCGGAGGGGCCGGGCGGGAAAGCCAGCUGUGGCCGGCGGCGAUUGGCGGAGGGACCCGGGACUUACACGCCUCUCCCCGACGUUGGUGGGCUGGUGGGUGGGGCGGCCGGGCUGGGCCCCGCGGAGGCGCAACUCGUGAUUGGCCGGCGCGCUUUCCCUGCGGCUCUGGCGAUUGGCGGCUGGCCGGGUGCGUGGCGCUGAUUGGGCGGCAGCCCGCCUUGGUCCCGCCCCGCCGCUGGGGUUGA